rnacentral:rRNA from 1 species
ACCUGCGGAAGGAUCAACCCCUGUGGGUAUAGUGAGAUGGUUGUUUUUCCAACCCAACCCGACCCGUGCGCACAUCCAUUGGACUGGAUGCACGGGUGUGUGUGGUCUUCUUGGUGGGGAGGCCUGGUUAGGGCCUGGCUUGGUGGGGUGACUAGGCUGGACGGUGUACUGACAAAGCCGUUUUUCCAGUUAUAGAGCCGUUCCAGUCGGGCCCAAGGGCAUGUCCAGUCCCAUUGGUGGUGGGCGCCCCUCCGUGGGCUCUGAGGCCUUGUCACCCUCAGUGUCCGUCGGAGUCUACGAAGGGGCACUUGUGCCCCGGCGUAACGUAAGAUGUAUGUAUAUACAUAUUCCGGUUGGCCUUGUGCCAACAACAUGCCAGUGAAGACGUGUCCUUUUGUCCACUCCAAUAUUUUGCCUACGGGACAAGGCCUAGCUGGUCCGCAGGCGGCGGGAUGACUUGGGCUGGAAGAGGG